UAGGGAAAGUUUUUCGGUGUAGGAUGAGACUAUAUAGUAUCAGCUAGUUGGUAAGGUAAUGGCUUACCAAGGCUAUGACGCUUAACUGGUCUGAGAGGAUGAUCAGUCACACUGGAACUGAGACACGGUCCAGACUCCUACGGGAGGCAGCAGUAGGGAAUAUUGCGCAAUGGGGGAAACCCUGACGCAGCAACGCCGCGUGGAGGAUGACACUUUUCGGAGCGUAAACUCCUUUUCUUAGGGAAGAAUUCUGACGGUACCUAAGGAAUAAGCACCGGCUAACUCCGUGCCAGCAGCCGCGGUAAUACGGAGGGUGCAAGCGUUACUCGGAAUCACUGGGCGUAAAGGGCGCGUAGGCGGAUUAUCAAGUCUCUUGUGAAAUCUAAUGGCUUAACCAUUAAACUGCUUGGGAAACUGAUAGUCUAGAGUGAGGGAGAGGCAGAUGGAAUUGGUGGUGUAGGGGUAAAAUCCGUAGAUAUCACCAAGAAUACCCAUUGCGAAGGCGAUCUGCUGGAACUCAACUGACGCUAAGGCGCGAAAGCGUGGGGAGCAAACAGGAUUAGAUACCCUGGUAGUCCACGCCCUAAACGAUGUACACUAGUUGUUGGGGUGCUAGUCAUCUCAGUAAUGCAGCUAACGCAUUAAGUGUACCGCCUGGGGAGUACGGUCGCAAGAUUAAAACUCAAAGGAAUAGACGGGGACCCGCACAAGCGGUGGAGCAUGUGGUUUAAUUCGAGGAUACGCGAAGAACCUUACCUGGGCUUGAUAUCCUAAGAACCUUUUAGAGAUAAGAGGGUGCUAGCUUGCUAGAACUUAGAGACAGGUGCUGCACGGCUGUCGUCAGCUCGUGUCGUGAGAUGUUGGGUUAAGUCCCGCAACGAGCGCAACCCACGUAUUUAGUUGCUAACGGUUCGGCCGAGCACUCUAAAUAGACUGCCUUCGUAAGGAGGAGGAAGGUGUGGACGACGUCAAGUCAUCAUGGCCCUUAUGCCCAGGGCGACACACGUGCUACAAUGGCAUAUACAAUGAGACGCAAUACCGCGAGGUGGAGCAAAUCUAUAAAAUAUGUCCCAGUUCGGAUUGUUCUCUGCAACUCGAGAGCAUGAAGCCGGAAUCGCUAGUAAUCGUAGAUCAGCCAUGCUACGGUGAAUACGUUCCCGGGUCUUGUACUCACCGCCCGUCACACCAUGGGAGUUGAUUUCACUCGAAGCCGGAAUACUAAACUAGUUACCGUCCACAGUGGAAUCAGCGACUGGGGUGAAGUCGUAACAAGGUAACCGUAGGAGAACCUGCGGUUGGAUCACCUCCUUU
rnacentral:rRNA from 1 species